GCCUCCCUCUUUCUUCGUGCUUAACACAUGCAAGUCGAACGGAAAGGCCCUGCUUUUGUGGGGUGCUCGAGUGGCGAACGGGUGAGUAACACGUGAGUAACCUGCCCUUGACUUUGGGAUAACUUCAGGAAACUGGGGCUAAUACCGGAUAGGAGCUCCUGCUGCAUGGUGGGGGUUGGAAAGUUUCGGCGGUUGGGGAUGGACUCGCGGCUUAUCAGCUUGUUGGUGGGGUAGUGGCUUACCAAGGCUUUGCCGGGUAGCCGGCCUGAGAGGGUGACCGGCCACAUUGGGACUGAGGUACGGCCCAGACUCCUACGGGAGGCAGCAGUGGGGAAUAUUGCACAAUGGGCGGAAGCCUGAUGCAGCAACGCCGCGUGCGGGAUGACGGCCUUCGGGUUGUAAACCGCUUUCGCCUGUGACGAAGCGUGAGUGACGGUAAUGGGUAAAGAAGCACCGGCUAACUACGUG
rnacentral:rRNA from 1 species